rnacentral:tRNA from 1 species
CAACCCUUGUCGGAUAGAGUAUCUGCCUUCGAAGCAGAGGGUUGCAGGUUCGAGUCCUGCAGGGGCGGCCA